rnacentral:ncRNA from 1 species
GAGCGUUGACACGGGGGCCGCGGCCGGCGCACAGCGCACACGCCGGGGCUGAGAGGGGUUUCUUCCCGACCGAUUGAACGUGAAUCCGGGUAAUGCCGGCGCACGGACGUCGCUCUUCCUCCCGU